rnacentral:rRNA from 1 species
CCGACCGGCGCACGGGUGAGUAACGCGUAUGCAACUUACCUAUCAGAGGGGGAUAACCCGGCGAAAGUCGGACUAAUACCGCAUGAAGCAGGGGCCCCGCAUGGGGAUAUUUGCUAAAGAUUCAUCGCUGAUAGACAGGCAUGCGUUCCAUUAGGCAGUUGGCGGGGUAACGGCCCACCAAACCGACGAUGGAUAGGGGUUCUGAGAGGAAGGUCCCCCACAUUGGUACUGAGACACGGACCAA